UAUGAAAAUAUAUAUAGAAUAUAUACAUUAUAUACAAAGUUUAAAAAGUAUUUGGACUAAGAUGAGCACUUGGGGCUGCUAUUUGUGUUGUGUGUUAAUUUUUUUUUUUCCCUAAUUUGUUAGAUUUUUGUUUCAUUGCCAUGUGAAGUGUAUUAUUUUUUUUUUUCUUAAAACAUUGAAUGUAUUCCAAAAAAUAUUACAAACCCGUGCUGAUUUUUUUUAUUUUAUUUUUUUUUUAUGUAUAUUUUUUCCUCAGAAGAUUUCAAAAAAUGGAAACAGAAAAAAAAUAGCUUCAGAGAGGUUUUCAUUUCCACAGUUGGAGAAGAAGAAAUGAAAACUAAAACCUCUGGAUGGAUACAGUUGAACACACUGCCUCUACAAUCCUGGUCGUUGUGACUCAGAACUAAAAAGAAAGGACUUUUUUUUGUUGUUUUUCUAUUCCAUACUGGAGCUUUGGUUGUUUACAAACCACAUGGAUAACUGUGGGUGCAGUUAUAUAUAUAUUUUUUUUGUUUAAAAAAAAAAAAUUUUUUUUGUCUUCGUUUUUGUUCCCACAUGAGGCGGGUGGGGUUUGCAAGUGCGCUUCUGCCAUAUGGACAAUGAGUGGUGUUGGGGUUUUAUUUUUGUUUUGCUUGACGAGUGGCAGGAAUCAGAACAGCAUGGGUGAGCUCCUCAAAGUCGGCCUUGUUAAUAGAAAAAAAAACAAAACCCCUGAGGAUGGACUAUGUUUUCUGGAAAACGGAGUACAGGGCAGAAUGAGCAUUGAGGGAACUGAGAGGCCAAAAAAAUAAAACGAGGAGCACACCUGGUUUGUGCGCUCGUCUCCACGUCAACCCUCCUACGCACUCGCACCCUGCUCUCACCGACUCACCUAUGCACUUUUGUUCAUUCAAGCUGUGAGGUACAAUUCUGGGGACGGGAGCACAAUUUACAACAGGAGGAUUGCUACGACUUUGAUUCAAAGUCUCAGAGAAAAAAAAAGAUAUUCCCAAACUGAAACGAGAGACUCGAGAAGCCCCCGUCUUCUCUCACCUCCUGUAUAUAAGCAUAUUUUUGUAUUACCUUUUUGGAGUAGAAAGAAAAAAAAAAAUUCAAAUGGAUGAAGGAAAAUUCAUGAGGCGUUGGACUGAAUGUUCCUCAUGGAGAUGAAACCAAUCGUUUUCAGUAGUUUUUAAUCGGACUCACCGUGAGUUUCCCUUUACACACCACUAACCUUGAAAUAAUUGGGGGGGGGGAUGCAAGGGAAACAAGCAUGGACUGGGUCGUUUGGAGGCGCCAACUCAUGGUUCCUUAUCCAGAGGUUGAGUCAUCAAGUGGUGGACGCUGUCGCCAAGGAUGCUACCACUUGGUUUUCUCAAACUGAUGACGACCUUCAGAGCUGUGAAGUCCCUGCAGGAGGAGAGCAGCAUGGUGAUUGGCUUUGCUUUAUUUGCUGCCCUCUGUGAAGAGGAUUUAAUCCGCAGCCAACCCAUGAAUCGGCUCACCAAAUCCUGCUCUUUUGAACUUUACCCCUAAGACACUUGUCUCGUUCCCGGACCGAGCGGCCCAUUGGCAUUAUCAGUCGGACAGUUCAUCAACCAUCGCGUUUGGCACGGGGUUCGAUCAGACGCCCUCCAGCGAGGAAGAGGCCAAAUAAAAAAAGGGGCCUGCGUUGCUACAUACAAUGGUCAUAAUCCACCUCAGCCUGAAGCCCUGGAAAGAUGGUUACUUUGACAUGUAUAACCAGCCCUCCUUUCUAAGAAGUCCCAAGACGAGGAAACGCAGAGAGAUGGCGGCUGUCUUAAAUUUGCUGCUGCAGUGGAACUGGAUAGACUUGUACAAAACGAAAAGACUCUAAAACACGACAAAUACACAAACACGUCGCAAAAAUUCUCAUGUCCAAAGGAGCGGCAAACAUACACUACAUGCACAUUUCCAGCAGACGUUACACACCAUAGCGAUCCAUGAAUAUCAGCUCGCAGAGAGACGGACGCAUCGGCGCUCACCAGUUUAAACGAUGCGCUUUGUAAAUAAUGUUAAAGUUGGUUUGGGUGACAUUUUGUCUUUUUUUUUUCUCGCAUAGUGGGGUUUUGCUUUAUUUCUUUGUUCAACAUGCCUUAAAUUGUAUAGUAAAGUCUUGAAUGACUAACUGAAAAUGUUCUCAAUGAUAAACUUUAGUUGGAAACCACCUUGCUAACUUAAUUCAGGUUUCAGAAAGUUUUCAACACCUUUUUUUUUUUUUUUGCUUCUGUUUGCUAACAGAAUUGUCUAUAGACCUCACAUGUUCAUCCAAUCACCUUUAAAAGUUACUAGCUAACUACAGAGUAGAGCGGCAAGUGUUUUGUUCUUUAAAUCGAUAUUUGCCGGUGGUUGGAUUUUUGUUGCUCUUUUGUUUUCAUGAAAACGCAGAGUGAAUUUUUCUGGAGGCAGUGCUUUUUUUUUUUUUUUUAAAUCUCCUGAAGGAGUUAAGGUCUGUACUCUGGGGAGCUGAGCUGACCGGGUUGCAUUUAAUUAACCGUCCCUCAUCUCACUGCUGCAGAACUGUGUUUAAAGACUCUGAGUGAAUAAGUCAUCCUUAAAUUUUAGAUGCAAGACUCUCCGUACACUCCAAGAAACUUGUAUGUUUAAAAAAAAAACAAAAAACCUACUGAUUUGCAGGUUUGAGGUACUCUCGUAACUGUACGUAUUCUAAGAAAAAUAAGAAUUUUCUAUUUUAACCUGGGUAUUAUUAAAUGCUUACAUUUAAUUAAUGAUUAAAUGUGCAUAGCGUUGAGCUCCAGAUAUCAGGCACCAAGUGCAGGAUUUAUUUCCACAGAAAGCAUUCCUCCUCAUUGACUGGACAUGCUGUAAAGCUAACAAAAGUCAUAGUUGCAGCUCUUCAACCCAACCCCCCCACUGCUCUGCGUGGCGAUCCAUAUAACCAGUGUAUAUGCACAAUAAUAAAAAAGAUUCCUCACCAUCACAGUUGGAAAUAAUGACAGAUGGUCAUUAAAUUUCUUAAUUUUUAUGUUAAUAAAAAGAAUUCUAAUCUGGUCACCAGAGGUGCUCCAAAGAAACAUUGUCUGAUUCCCAGCUGGAUGAUUCAUCUUUGCUUGGCAGUUGAUCAUUGGUUGAUUUUGAAAGUGAAGCUUUAACUCUCCAUCUGUGCUCUGAAUUUAAAUGCAUCACCAGUCAGAUGGAUCAGAGUAAGUAAAGAGCCUAGAGCGUUGGGUUAAAAGGUUUAAAACAUUUGGCGUUUUUAGUCUGUUUCAGUAUCCUUGCUUACUAUAAAAAAAAAUGAAUUUUUUUUAAUCAAGGCUUAAUGACCUCCAGGUUGACUAUUGGUCGCCUGUAGCCAUCAGUGGAAAUCUCCAGAAGACUCCCAUUAGGAUUGAACUCAUAAAUUGCAGCUCGAUUAUGUUAAAACAAAAAAAAAGGACCCAUAUGCCAAAAAUAAGACAUUAUGCUAAACGUACUAUAAGCUACUGUGGGAUAUUUUAAGAUGAUUCUCUGCAGCACAAUGCUUUUAUGAUUACAUAAACUGCCGAACCUUUGUCCAAAAAAAAGAAAAGCGAAGAAAAGGAUGACUGGUCGCAGACUUCUUAAAUUCAUCUUGUAGUUAUUAUUUUUUUUGCAGCAUAUUUUUUUAAAAAGGAUUUUAAUUGUCACCCAGCCAGUUCAGCUCCCUUUGUUUCGAGUCUUUUGAAUGUUG